rnacentral:rRNA from 1 species
AUUGAACGCUGGCGGCAGGCCUAACACAUGCAAGUCGAACGAGUGGCGGACGGGUGAGUAAUGUCUGGGAAACUGCCUGAUGGAGGGGGAUAACUACUGGAAACGGUAGCUAAUACCGCAUACCAUAAGAUGUGCCCAUAUGGGAUUAGCUAGGAGGGGGGGUAACGGCUAACCUAGGAGACGAUCCCUAGCUGGUCUGAGAGGAUGACCCGCCACACUGUAACUGAGACACGGUCCAGACUCCUACGGGAGGCAGCAGUGUGGAAUAUUGCACAAUGGGCGCAAUCCUGAUGCAGCCAUGCCGCGUGUGUGAAGAAGGCCUUCGGGUUGUAAAGCACUUUCGGCGGGGAGGCGUUACCCGCAGAAGAAGCACCGGCUAACUCCGUGCCAGCAGCCGCGGUAAUAC